AGAUCAGCAGCAACACCUAGCCAACCCACAGCUUACUUACAGCAGACAUGUGAAUCAAUCUAGCCAAGACUAAAAGAAUCACUAAACCAAUAUGUCAUCCUAUGAAUAAUAGUAAACGUUUGUCUUAAACUAUCAUAUUAUAGGAAAAAAACCUGAUAUAUGAAAUUACCCUGUGAGUUUAUAUUAAAGAUACACUUACCUUCUCCAACAAGAGUUGUAACAAUUUUUUUCUUAUUGCAAACAAUGCUAUGGGGAUACUUAUAGUAGCAUUUCUGCUCAACGUAAUAUUUUAUUGUAGCACUGUUUGCAAUAAGAAAAUAAUUGGAAACUGCAGAAACGAUCACUAAUGAAGUAUGGGUUGAAAAUCUUUUAAGCUGAAAGCAACAAAUGUGACAAUUAAAAGGCAUAAAUUAGAUUUACAUAUUUUACAUUAUCACAACUUGUAUUACUAAAUGAUAAAAAUGAGUUGCAAAAUAAUAUAUAGACCUUUAUAUUUUAUAAAUAUGCACAUGAAAAAAUGUUUGUAAGUAUGCACAAACUGUUAACAGUUAUUACUUCAGAGGAGUGAAAAAUAGGGUGAAAAUGAGAAUGACUUUCAUUUUUAGUAUACUUAAGUACAUUUUCAAUUUUCAAUUAUAUGCAGUGAUUUUGUCCUUUAAAAAAUAGGACGGACUUUUUUUAAAUAUAAGGAAGACAUUUUCUGUGAAACAAUAAACAACUCAGUAUAUACUUAAUGUGCAUGAAGUAUGAGGUAGGAAUACAUCCAUUGACAUUCUUGCAUUUGCAUACCACUUCCCCAAAUAUGAACUCACUUCUCUGACUUUGCUAGGGCUGAGGAAUCAUCAUUACAAUAUCUGUAAAACUGGAUUUAUUAAGUGCAUCCAUAUUGUUUAUGAGUCAUAGAAAAUAUGUUCAUUUUCCUAUCCAUGUUAAAGGCUGCUUGGAGGAUUGACGGAGCAUUGCUUAGAAAAUGUUCUGGAAUUCAGAUGAAGCUGUGUUAGUAUAAAUCAUUACUGGUUACCAUAUACUCACACAUACUUAGGGGAUAAAGAUCAGAAAUUACUUAAAUGUACUUUGUCUUCUUCAAUCUUUCCGUAGCAGCACAUGGGUCAAAAUCUCCUGAAAGUUGAGCAGGGGAGCUGUAGAAGAAUUCCUCCUUUUCUUGCAGAUGAAAUCUUAUGAUAUAGCAGGGGUUACCUGGCCAAGAAGGUAAGUCUGUCAUCCAGCAGUGCUUGCAGAGGGACUAAAAUGAAUUAGGAUGUUCAGAGUUGUAUGUUAGGUGCUGCAGAAAGGAAGAAAAGAUCUCAUCCAUAAAGGGGUCUUUGACCCUGGGGAAUGGCAGUUGGCGAUUACGCUGCUUCUCAGUUCCAUCCUGUGUUGCCCCAGGUUUACUUCAUGGUCAUCCAAACUUUCUUUGCCAUGUCUUUUGUGAGACUUCUACUUAUUACUCUGUGUCAUCAUCUUUUGGUAAAUAUAAAUUCUGGCUAGGAGAACUAAGACAGACAGGGGAGCUGUCUGCACACUGUGAUUAGGCAUGCAUCAAUUCAGAGCUCCAUGCUGCUAGCUCCUGUAUUCUGCUGAGCUCCCAGGGAGGAAAUAGGAAAAGGGAGGAGAACUCACCUGUCCAAUUACAACCUACUCUGCAGUACAAAGUACUGCAAAUUCCACACAGUGGAUCUCUGUGAUUGAAGGAGCACUUGUAAAAUCUGAGACAUCCUAGUUUUUGAUUUGGUAUCCAAAACAAAUCUGAACUUUUAAUUAAAUAUUGUUCUUUUUCCUUCUUGUUUCCAAAUGAAUAGUUACACCAGCAAACUUAUUGGCUGAAAAGUUGUUUCCUACAUUUGCACUUUGAAGUGCAUCAGACAGUGGUGUGUUUGGAUGUGGGUCUUGUUGAGUUUGGUUAGUGAGUUAUUAUUGGUCGGGAUUGCAGUGGUCCUGCCAAUUGAAGAGAAGUAGGUGUGCCGAGUACUGUCAUGUUCACCUCCGCCUUUCACAGAGGCAUAUUUAGCCCUCAGUUGGUAAGUGAACUUUUUGACAAGGGUUUAAGAGGUCGUAGAGUCUGUGUAAAAGACAAAAGUCCAAAAGUGAAGCAGAAGGAAUCCAGCUUCUUAUUUAUGUCUGGCAUGGGAAGCUUCUGGAUUUGAUAGUGGGUGCACCGAAAUUUGCAUCCCAAGUCAUAGCCUUUGCUCUGCCCUACCUUCUGGUAUGUUGUUUUUCAAGUUACUUAACCUCUCAGGGCCGCAACUUACUUAUUUGAAAAAUGAAUUCUAGAAUCACAGAGUUGGAUACAAUCUUAAGGGCCAAUUAGUCAAACUUUCUUUCCAGAGGUAUUCUGCAUGAUCUCAAAUGUGUCUCUGAACUAUAGCUUCCUGAAAUUUCAUUAUUCUUGUAGGAACACAGAGGAAAACAAAGAAAAUUCAAGGAACUAAAUUCCCUCUCCACCUCAACCACCAGCAUUGAUACUCCAUCACUUAUGUACUGCAUCAAGCUGUCCUCAGAGGUGAGGAAGGUGCUGUCAAGACUAGAAGCAUGUGUCCCUCUCUCCAUUGCAAGAUGGGACAUAGAGAGGAGAAAAGUGGCAGACAGAAGUCUCAGGUAUGUCUUUAUCAGCAGCAUGAAAAUGGACUAAUACAGGGACAAAUGAUAGCAUCUACCUCAUGGACUUUUUAUGAGAAUUGAAUGAUUUAAUAAAUGUAAAAGACUUAGAACACUGCCUCAUCUAUUGUAAACAGUCAAUAAAUAUUAGUAUCAAUUUUCAUUGAAUCCUAAUCAGUAUAACUAUAAUGUUACAUUCAUGAAUAAGACAAAGGCUGGGACAAAAUAAAUGAGACACUUCACUCAG
rnacentral:lncRNA from 1 species